rnacentral:tRNA from 1 species
UGCCGGCGUAGCUCAGGUGGUAGAGCAACUGAUUCGUAAUCAGUAGGCCCGCAGUUCGAGUCUGCGCGCCGGCAG